CGACAUACCUGCAUUACAAAGAAAGGACACUAUAAGCUAGUGAUAAUCAACAAAUCAAUGAAAAGUAUUUCUCAGCAAAGUGAGAAAUCGAAAGCUUAAUUAGUGCCUAAGGUAAAUAAAAUUCUAAUCGAAUUUUACACAAGAUUAACCUACGAACUGCCUUCAUCAGCAAUAUCAAUAAUCAUUUAGAUAAACACAUAUACCUUCCAGUUGGAUCCCAUUCAAUAUCUGUUGCCAUAAAAUGUUCAGCAGUAGCCAUGGUUUCAAGUUCAUCAACAUUGUAAAAUUCCAACUGCCCAUUAAACCCUUUCAGCCCAGCUAGUACAAUGUAGCGACCUGCAGGUGACCAAAAUAGAGCAUUUGCUUGCUUGCCUUUCAGAGUAGUGAGUUUUGAAACUCGGCUAUUCUGACCAGUGCGCAUGGAAUAAAUGCUUACAUCAGGCUUAGGGUUAUCACCAUGAAUAACCACAAACCUAUGGCCUUUUGGCUCCCAAGCAAAUGCAAUGAUCUUAUCAUUCUUAUUUUCAAGCUCCAAUACCUCAAUAGGUAUGUCUCGUUCUUUUAUUCGGAAAAGCUCAAAUCCUGUGUAUGUGCUCUUUUUUGUUUUUGUAUAGCGUUCUACAUUAACAGCAAGGUAGUCUCCAUUGCUUUGCCAGUAGAUCUUGCAGUCACUGACACUGAAAAGGUUCUUCUGCCUGAGUUCUUCUUUGCUGGGGACUUGGAUCAAACUCACCUAUAAAUAUGUAAAAGAACAAAUAUAACGGUUGAUAAAUGAUAUGGCCAUUAAGUAUGAUAAAAAAGUAAAUUCUUUCAAUUCCCGUGCAUAUAACAAAUAAACACAGUCUUACCCUCGCAGGCUGGUUUCCACCCCCCAUCUCAGGAACAAAGAGAGCAAUAAUUGGAUCAGUUGGAGACCAGCAGAAAUCCAUUAUAUUUUCAACCUUCAGAGACUUCUUGUCAACGAGAGAAAAGGUCUCGGUCUCAUACACAGAGAGUACAUUUUUUCCCAUCCUUGCAAAGUAUUUAUCAUCUCUUCCACCACUCCACCUGUAAAGACAGUGACAAUAAUGAAUUACUGCACUAGACACCAGGCAGAUGCUAAUACACUUGCAUGAACUACACCAAAAUAAUGAAUAAAAUAGUACUUGAAAACAGGCCAUGAAACUCCUGUGACACCCCCAGCCCCUCCAACUGCAAAAUCAUCGGCACUACCUUUAAAGUCCCUCAUCACCUUGCCAGUUCUCACAUCAAAUAUAUUAAUCACAACCCUCUACAAAACCAGUCAGAGAGUUAGGAAGAGUGUAUAUCUAAAGUACUAAAAAACAAAAAAAGGAAGCACUCACAUUGGCAUCUCGGGGAUUGCUUGGUUCAUUGCUACUAUAAGUUACCAGAUACUUUUCACCAGGUGAAAAAUCAAUAAGUUUUACCUGUGUUCAAUAUUACUAUGAAUAAUUUGAUAAAAAUAAAAAGACACCCAACAUCAAGAGCCAAACAAUUAUACAGAAUAAAUCUCAACCUGAGGAUGUGCAUAUCGCAUAAGUCUGUUAAAGCUUGAAGAACCUCCCCAGACAGCUGCCCCCUGUCUGUGAACAGUGGCCAAGUAUGUCCCCAGAGGAGACCAUUGGACAAAACUUUCUGUCCAAAACUACAUCAAUCCACAAUCAUGUAAAGGUAGGCAAUAAUAAAUAUCAUAGAGUUCAAGAUACUCAAAUAAAAUGUCUACUCACAGCCCGCUUAUAAACAGGAUCAGGCUUCAAAUGCCUUGCAUCAUUCCACAAAACCUCAGUAUCUGAACCAGCACGAAUCACAAACUGGUCUCUGGCCUUUGCAUCAGUGAGCCAGUGUUGAAGAUUUUCCUGAAACAGAUGUCAAAACCAAAGGGCAUAAGAAAUAUCAAUAAGCUACAAAAGUUCCAGUGUGACAGCUACAAGAUCAUGGCUAAAUGCAAAUAGAUAAUGUACAAACUUUAAACUAUAAAACAAGUAAAGCAACUGUAUUCACAAAAUCCACAUAAUAAUAAAAUAUGCACAUAACCAAAUUAAAAGUGAGGCAGUCCAAACGUAGAUAUCAUAUACAUAGGGAAAAGCCUCAAUAAUCCUAAUAUUGAGCAAUGAACCAAGUAUCUGGUAACAUACAUCGUGCACAUUGUAUCUAAAGGCCACAAUUGUUAAUUGAAAUAAAACUAGUGGUGCACAUUGUAUCUAAAGGCCACAAUUGUUAAUUGAAACAAAACUAAGGAAAGGUCAGGACCAUGACUGUCAGAAAGAGUAAUUUAUGCAAAGAUAUAUUAAAAUCUAGGCUUAAUAUCACAUAUCCUAAUAUAUUAAAAUCUAGGCAUAAUAUCACAUAUUCUAAGACGAAAAAAGAAGAAAAGUAUGUAUAAACAUUACCCCUGGAGCAUAUGGCUUUGUUUCAGGAAGAGCCCACUCAUUCGGAACCUUCAUAAACCUGUCAAAGUCAUCAAACAUGCUCACGCAAAAUAUAUGUGCACGAUCCAAUUUGUACCCAUGAGUCUUCUCUUUAGCAAGCUCUGCUUCCUAAAAAAAAAACAACCAAUUUAACCAUACAGAAUCAAAAUGUCCAAUCCAAUAUCAACUGAAAACUGUCAAAAACACAAUAAACACUGGUAUUGACUACAACAAACGACUUAGGCCAACAAAUUUUUUAAAUUUUCACUGUGUCCAGGUACAUUGAAGAAAUAGUGAAUAUACCUGAGGAGUAUUGUACUCAAUGAAGCAGUAUCCCAGGGUUUUAUCAGUUUCAGGAUCAACAGGCAUCCAGAGACCAUCCUCUUUUAUAACACCAAUCUGACUAUAAAUUUUCCUAACCACUCCUUCGAGCUUCUCAAACUUCUCCUUCGGAACGACGGGGAGGCUAUCCACGACAAUGAUGUUACCAAAUCCAGACUCGAACUCGAGAUUAUCCUCCUGGUAAACUUCAUCGUCAUCGCUGAACAGUGUAAAAAAAAAGCGUAAGAGCACCGCUACCUAGGGUUUCAGUCCAGUGGCCAGAACAAAAAUACAUUGGAAAAUACGAAAUUCGCACCUGACAAUUCCACAGUUUUCGCCGGGAGGAAGACGAAUGGAGUCGAGAUCGAGUGUGGAGAGAUCAAGGCCGAGACGCAGCGCCGUGUCUUCGAUCUCCUUCAUUACCAUGACAUCCGCCAUGAUUGUAGCGACAGACAACGGUCUUAGCGUUAUGGAGGCAGAGUAUGCAGAAUAGAGAGUUUGGUUUCUAGGGUUAGGGUUCUCUCCGACACAUGCCAAUAAAAUACAAACAAAUGGUUCACUUGCCAAAAUUUUGUAAAAAAUCUUACUAUUAAAAAAAAAAAAAAAACUCUCAUGCAUUCGCUCUUCUUCUCUUAUUCGAUUUCCAUUUUCACUAAUUCCAAAAUUCAUUUUUUUACAAUGACGAUACUACCCUCUUCCACUCUCUGCCACGUAAUCCGGCACUGUUACGGUUGUCAACGCAACAGAUACGCAUCAUAUAUUGGUAUUAACUUAAUUAUUUAUAUUUAUAUUUCUUUUGAAAACCCAUAAUAUCUUGUAAACAUUAUGUUAUUAUUUCUAGGCAUACUUGAUCAUUCAAACUUUUGAAAAAGAAAAAUAUUAACAAGCUUCUUAUAAUAUUGUAAUUUGAUUUUUAUUUUUUAUUAUAUUUUAAAAAAUAAUAAGAUUUUGAAUUGAUUAAAAAUAUUUGACUCAUAGUUCAUGUCAUUCAAUAUUUAUGAAAAUUAUAAUACUUUUUGAAGUACUAGUUUGUUAUCCAGUAAUGAGGUGGUAAUUCUUUUUAAAAAAGGUAAUUAUCAAUUUUAAAUAAAUAACGUUAAUAAUCUUACAUACAGAAGUAAUUUAGGAUGAAUAAAAAUUGAAAAACAACAAAUAUUAUGUAAAAGAACAACAACCUCUUUUUCUUCUUCAAGUUUCUCUUCUUCUUCAAGUUUUUUUUUUCUUUCAUUAUUAGUUUAGGAAUUAGAGAGUGUGAUGAUGUUCUGCUAAGGUUAGGAUUAACUUGAUGUAGAUACAAAAUAAUAACGGUUUACCAAAGAAUAUAGUUGCUUGAAAUGAAAUGAAGAGAGUGAUUGAAAAUUGAGGUUUAUAUGUGAGAUAUGGAGUAGAAACUUGUGAGAGUACCCUCUCUCUUUUCUUAUUAUUGCAUUAAAAUAAGAAAUUAAAGGAAGAAUAGAGAGUCUUAUAUAAAAAUUGUACAUUAAUAUUAAUUUAAAAAUUAAAAAAAUAAUUUUAUUUUUAAAUAAUUUAUAUAAAAUGAUAAAAUAUUUCGUUAUACUAAUAAAAUGAGAUAUAUUAAAUAAGGAUAGAAUCGAAAAAAAAAAUAUUUACACAGAAAAAUGGUUAGAAUGGAAUUCUCCUUUACACAUAUGUAUAGAUUAAUUAUAUAUAUAUAUAUAUAUAUAACAAGGUAUAAGUGAAAAAUAUUAAAAUUAAGUUCAAAUAACAAAAUUGAAUAUUAUGAAAUGUAUAGUAUAAAGUGUUUCAAUUGUGUAUUUGACACAAUAAGUCUUCUUUAAAGAGGAAAGAAAUAGAAAAAAAAUGAAUUUUUAAUUAUUUUUUUUAAUCAUUUGCUACCCAAUUACUAAACCAAAUAUAAAAUUUAAAUUGUAGUUCGGUUUUGUUCAAUUUAAAUUGUAACAAAAUUAAAUUAUUCAGUUUAAUUCAAUUUUUAUGGUUUUUACUGUCAUAAAAUUAUUUAAUAAUCUCUAAAGAAAGUUAAAACAUUUGUUUUACAAAAUUAUAUUUGAAGAUUUUAUAAUAAAAAAAUAUCAAAUAGAAAGAAAUGUUGUGAAUAGUUAGUGUUCAAUCAUUUUACGGGCAAAGGAAACACUUAUAUUUUAAAGGUUAUCUUUUUCAACUUACAUUAACAAAUUAUAAUUUAGUUUUUAAGAAAUAUGAUUAUAUAUGUCAUUUGUAUUAAAUAAUAAAAAGAAAUUUCACUCACACACAUGAGAUACUGUUAAAUGACACUAAUACUUCUUUUAAAUUUUAAGCAUUCAUAUUAUUUUAUUUAUAUUUACACUUCUAAAAAAAAACACUGUAUAUAAUGUGUGUGAGUGAAAUUUAUAUUUAUACCAUUUUAAUUGUAAAUAUUUAUAUAAAAUCAAUAUUUUUAUAAAAAAAAACUUUUUAUAUUUUUCAAAACCAAUAUUUUUAUAAAAAAAAACUUUUUAUAUUUUUCAAAACCAAUUUUUAAUUGAACAAAAAAUAAUAUUUUUUACGUUUAUAAUAUAAUAAAUAAAACUUUCAACUUCUUAUGAAGAAACUUUAAAUUCUACUUUAAAGCUUUUUAAUUGUAAUUUUGAAAGUAUUACUCCAGCACAAACAAUGUCAAAAGAUUAGAAAAAAUGUAUAAUUUAGCAAAGAUGAAUACAGCACUCUACAUUCAAGAUUCUAAUUAUAAAUAUUUACUUUAAAAAAAUUAAUUAUAUUAAAAAAACAUAACUUUUAUUUUAAAAAUAAAAUUAUAAUUGAACAAAUAGAAUAAAUUUUAACAUUGAUAAUGUAUAAUAAUUAAAGCUUUCAACAUUUUCUUAUAAAUGAACUUUCAAUACUUAUUUUUAAUAUUUUAUUUCAUUAAAAAUUUAACUAAUAUGUUCUUAUUUUAAAAAAAUAAAUGACAAGUGUCAUUUCAAACAUUGUAAUUUCUAGUAUUAAAAACCUAGAUAAACUGUCUAAUCUAGCAAAGAUGACUACAAUCAUUUAAUCAAUAAUAUGAGGAGAAAUUCUUCAUACAUGCAUAUCAGUCACAGAUUGAAACCAAAAGUGCUUACAGAUUAAUAACUCAAAUUUUGUACUUCCUCAAAAAAUUCUAAUCAAAACAAAAUUAUUCAGAAUUUGAUGUUAAAUCUAGUUAAGAAUAAGUUAAAAAAUAUUUACAAAAACUUAAGCUGGGUAAUAUACUAAAAUUGUGCAAUCUCAUCAAAACCUUCAAAAUUGGGUUUCACAAAUGCCCAACUAAACCUCAGACAGAAUAAAAUGUUCUGGUAUAAACUAUAGAACUCACUCUUGACCGUACUCAAGGUGAAGGACCUCUUCUGAUACAUCAAUGACUUCCUCCACUUCAAUGUCCUUCGCCUCGUACUCUUCCUCUUCAUCGCUAGCUUCCCCGUCCCUGAGCUUCUGUCUAUGUAAGCUCUCCUCCUCGUGGAUCCGCUUCCAUUCAUGGAUCCACUUGUCCCAAUCUUCUUUCAACAUCCUCCGCUUAUCACGUUCUUGCUCACUCAACAGCAGCGAGACAUCUUGAUCUUCUGCCUCAUAUUUCUUGCUGUACUUCUUCAAAUUCUUGGCAAUCUCUUCCUCUUUCUCGGGACUCAAGAAAGAUGGUGGCCUUGGUCUCCACAAGAACUAUAUAUAAAGAAAACAAAUACAUUCAGGCUUGAUUUAUCCACACACAGGACAGUCAGUGUCAUACAACAUGCAGAAUAGCAAUAAAGAUUUGUGUAAUAAUUUCAAAACUGUGUAAAUUCUUCUAUCACAAUUCCACUACCAAAACAUUGAUUCAAAGAUGGAAUAGUACAAUGUCCAAACCUAUCACCGUAUGAACAUUCUUCCAUGUACCCUUAUAUAAUGAGGGUACAAUUGCCAAAAAAUGCAUCAGAGUACAAGUAAUAUAGUACCUGAAAGAAGUGAUCCUUCAGAAUCCGAUAUAGAUGUUUGCCAUUAAAAGACCAUAUAUUGAAACCAUUUUCCAUUUCAUGAACUGAUGUCACAGCAGUUGCGACAUACCUGCAUUACAAAGAAAGGACACUAUAAGCUAGUGAUAAUCAACAAAUCAAUGAAAAGUAUUUCUCAGCAAAGUGCCUAAGGUAAAUAAAAUUCUAAUCGGAUUUUACACAAGAUUAACCUACGAACUGCCUUCAUCAGCAANNNNNNNNNNNNNNNNNNNNNNNNNNNNNNNNNNNNNNNNNNNNNNNNNNNNNNNNNNNNNNNNNNNNNNNNNNNNNNNNNNNNNNNNNNNNNNNNNNNNAUACCUUCCAGUUGGAUCCCAUUCAAUAUCUGUUGCCAUAAAAUGUUCAGCAGUAGCCAUGGUUUCAAGUUCAUCAACAUUGUAAAAUUCCAACUGCCCAUUGAAUCCUUUCAGCCCAGCUAGUACAAUGUAACGACCUGCAGGCGACCAAAAUAGAGCAUUUGCUUGCUUGCCUUUCAGAGUAGUGAGUUUUGAAACUCGGCUAUUCUGACCAGUGCGCAUGGAAUAAAUGCUUACAUCAGGCUUAGGGUUAUCACCAUGAAUAACCACAAACCUAUGGCCUUUUGGCUCCCAAGCAAAUGCAAUGAUCUUAUCAUUCUUAUUUUCAAGCU
rnacentral:lncRNA from 1 species